CAUCUGUAAAACACAAAAAUUAAAUCAGGUUCAAAUACGGUUCGAUAAGUACUGGCUUAUGGAAGUAAGUUAAAUAUAUAUAAACCUGUGCAAUUCCGAAUAAAGGAGCGAUGACGAUCAUGCGACAGGCAGCACCCUUGAGAAAAUAAGAUGAUACAUUAAUUAUCAAUGGAUUACGCAAGAUUAUAAAAACACUAACACAAAAGCGUCUGGGACGUUUGCGUAAGAUGCCUCUCCUUUGGCCUUCUUCAAUAGCUGAAGUCUGGUUUUGACAACAUCAAAUGGGUUUACUGCGGCUGCAGAGAUAGAUCCAGCAGCCAUACCACUUAGGAAUGA